AGCAUAUUACUAAGCGGAGGAAAAGAAACCAACGGGGAUUCCCAUAGUAACUGCGAGUGAAAGGGGAAAAGCCCAGCGCCGAAUCCUGCCGCUGGAGACGGUGGCAGGAACUGUGGCGUGAAGAUGGUAUGUACCGGUGUGGCUCGCUCGCGUAAGUUCUCCUGAGUGAGGCUCCAUCCCAUGGAGGGUGCAAGGCCCGUGUCGUGAGCAGCCGUCGCCGGUGUGUGCUAUCAGAGAGUCGCCUUGUUUGCGAGUACAAGGUGAAGUCGGUGGUAAACUCCAUCGAAGGCUAAAUAUGACCACGAGUCCGAUAGCGAACAAGUACCGUGAGGGAAAAUUGAAAAGCACUUUGAAGAGAGAGCGAAACAGUGCGUGAAACCGCUCAGAGGCAAGCAGAUGGGGCCUCGAAGGCAGAGCCGCGAAUUCAGCCGGUGGUCCGUGCGGUGUGUCGGGAUUGGAGAUCGCAAGACUCUGCCUGGCUUACUGGUGCGGCUGCCGGUGCACUUUCGCGGCUUGUACGCCACCGCCGUUAAGGAGCGUCCACCGGGCCUGCGUGUGGAGCCUAGCUGUCUUCGGGCAGUUGGUGUCUCACUGCGGGUCUGUGUGCGAUCGCGCUUUAACCGGUCAUGUCAGCAUGUGUCAGCGUUUGCGCUGGGUCAGCCGGCUCCGGUUGGGCUGUAUGGGGAUGACGAGCUUGCUCGGCUCUCCUGCACCUGAUGGACUCGUGCGGGCUUUCAGCGUGGCACAUUGUGGAUUCGGUGGCGAGUAGACGGCUGCCCAUCUAACCCGUCUUGAAACAC
rnacentral:rRNA from 1 species